CCUACGGGUGGCAGCAGUGAGGAAUAUUGGUCAAUGGGCGGAAGCCUGAACCAGCCAUGCCGCGUGCGGGAAGAAGGCCCUAUGGGUUGUAAACUGCUUUUGUACGGGGAUAAACCUCUCUACUUGUAUACAUCUGCAGGUACUGUACGAAUAAGGGUCGGCUAACUCCGUGCCAGCAGCCGCGGUAAUACGGAAGGCGCGAGCGUUAUCCGGAUUUAUUGGGCUUAAAGGGAGCGUAGGCGGGCGUGUAAGUCAGCGGUAAAAUGGCGGGGCUCAACCGCGCCCCGCCGUUGGAACUGGGUGCCUUGAGUGCGCGAGAGGUAGGCGGAAUGCGUGGUGUAGCGGUGAAAUGCAUAGAUAUCACGAAGAACCCCGAUUGCGAAGGCAGCAUACCGGCGUUCUACUGACGCUGAGGCACGAAGGUGCGGGUAUCGAACAGGAUUAGAUACCCUUGUAGUC
rnacentral:rRNA from 1 species